ACAAUUACCCCCCUUUUGCUUCAUAGUUACCAUACCGAAAUACUUUAACAAAUAAAGUGAGUUAAAAGCGACCCGGAUCUAACUACUUUCUUCAAGAACGCGACAAUUAAUAGAGAAAUGGUGGUGGUGACCAUUCACAAUAGGGCCCAAGGUCCAGAAGAACUGGACCUGAGCCAAGGUGAUGUCAUCCAGGUUUUGGUCAAAGAGGACAAAACGUGGUGGUUUGGACGUCUACCCAACGGAAACGAGGGCUACUUCCCAUCAGCCUGUGUCGCCACAUGUGGGCCGGACGGGGAAUCAGGGGAAGCCACGCCCACCCUCUUAAGGAGAGCCUCUGUGCCUGUUGUUAUGGCAACCCCGGCGUCCUGUAACCUUCCCGGUGAGGGCAAUGGGCUUGGAACGCCGAAGCUGUCCAGGAAGAACAGCAUUCGGCGUGCCCUGGCACUUGACAGCCCUUCCAUGAAGGGAGGUGGUGUUCUUCAGGGAUCCCCCAGCCUCAUCCACCGUGUCCUGGCUAAAUCCAGGAGGAAGAGCUGCCCUCACCUCCCACCAGUCUCCGCAAAGCCGGGCUCCAUCAACUCAGCUUACCUGCCUGAAUAGGAUGCCUUCAGAGAAGCAUUUAGACUUAAGCAUUAAGACUCUGAAGCCUCAAGCCCAUUUGACGUUUCAUGAGGACUUGGAAUUUCCUAUUUGAAGCGAACGAAAAAAUAUAGGCACGCUGCAUUACAUUCGCUUUCCUUUAACAAAUAUCAGUGUUUCCCCUUUAAUUGUGUUUAUAACACAAUUAAAGUGAGAACCCCUGCCAGGCCAAAAAACAAUAUGUGUAAAAUGUAAUACAUGUCCUAAAUCUCAACGAGUACUAGUGCAUUCAAUUUGUAGGUCUGCGAAAGUAUCCAUCAAUGUACACAUAUGGAAAGUCAGUUUUAUCUAGGGAUGCACCAGUACCCGAUGCUGUGCUCAUGUACUCGUAAAACCUCUCCGAUACAACCACCCGAUGCCACUUUACGCAACGUGAAGUAACGCGAAGUAAGUCCUCAAUUUAGUGAAACAAGGUGCACUGGAGGACUCGGUUUGUGUGGACGUGUGGAGCUCUGUAUGAGAGAAAGUUUUGCUUUUUCUGAAACUCAUUGUGUACCGCGACAGUAUGUUGAUAGUCGAGCUCCGUCUGAGCAGUGAUUUAUUUAAUACCAGCGCCCUAGGGUUAGGAUUCCCGUACAACUAUAAUGUUAUCGCUAGAGUGUGUAGCGCAUUUCAUAUACAACAUCGUUGGAUAUGGAAAAACGUUAUAACGCUUAAACACGACGAUGAUACAAAAAGAAUAAUCAUAAAGUUGCCGUUGGGCGUAACCAUGGUGAUAACACGCCAUGCGUGCAACUGUAAUGGUAUUAUUAAGUACUCACGCAGGUACUUGGUAUUGGCGAGUACCCAAAUGUAAGUGGAAUCAGUGCAUCCCUAGUUGUAUCUGUAUUAUAUACAGUCUGUCAAGUCCGUUGAACCUGUGUUAUAUACAGUCUAUGUGCAAUACACCCACACUAGAGCUCUACGAGCCAUGCAGUUCUUUACCUGCUUUUAACUGUUGUAGAGCUAGUGUGAUACACUUCUAAACACUAGAAGUUCCAUGUUCCAUUG
ensembl:lncRNA